rnacentral:rRNA from 1 species
GAUGAACGCUGGCGGCGUGCCUAAUACAUGCAAGUCGAGCGAACGGACGAGAAGCUUGCUUUUCUGAUGUUAGCGGCGGACGGGUGAGUAACACGUGGAUAACCUACCUAUAAGACUGGGAUAACUUCGGGAAACCGGAGCUAAUACCGGAUAAUAUUUUGAACCGCAUGGUUCAUAAGUGAAAGACGGCCUUGCUGUCACUUAUAGACGGAUCCGCGCUGCAUUAGCUAGUUGGUAAGGUAACGGCUUACCAAGGCAACGAUGCAUAGCCGACCCGAGAGGGCGAUCGGCCACACUGGAACUGAGACACGGUCCAGCCUCCUACGGGAGGCAGCAGUAGGGAAUCCUCCGCAGUGGGCGAGAGCCUGACGCACCAACGCCGCGUGAGUGAUGAAGGUCUUCGGAUCGUAAAACUCUGUUAUUAGGGAAGAACAUAUGUGUAAGUAACUGUGCACAUCUUGACGGUACCUAAUCAGAAAGCCACGGCUAACUACGUG